UUAAGUGGAGAGUUUGAUCCUGGCUCAGAGCGAACGCUAGCGGCGCGCCUAACACAUGCAAGUCGAGCGAGAAAGAGGGGGCAACUCCUUGAGUAAAGCGGCGAACGGGUGAGUAAUGCAUGGGUAAUCUACCUAUAAGACUGGGAUAACCUUCCGAAAGGAGGGCUAAUACCGGAUAAGACCACAUGACUUUUGUUGUGGGGUUAAAGAUGGGGAUUCGCAAGAACCUAUCAUUUAUGGAUGAGCCCAUGUCCCAUCAGCUUGUUGGUAGGGUAAUGGCCUACCAAGGCUAAGACGGGUAGCUGGUCUGAGAGGACGAUCAGCCACACUGGCACUGAAACACGGGCCAGACUCCUACGGGAGGCAGCAGUGGGGAAUCUUGCGCAAUGGGCGAAAGCCUGACGCAGCGACGCCGCGUGAGGGAAGAAGGCCUUCGGGUCGUAAACCUCUGUCUAGGGGGAAGAAACUUCUGGAGGAUAAUAUCCUUCAGGAUUGACGGUACCUCUGGAGGAAGCAUCGGCUAACUACGUGCCAGCAGCCGCGGUAAUACGUAGGAUGCAAGCGUUGCUCGGAAUUAUUGGGCGUAAAGGGCGCGUAGGUGGUUCUGUAAGUCAGAUGUGAAAGCCCUCGGCUCAACUGAGGAAUUGCAUUUGAAACUGCAGGGCUUGAGUACGGGAGAGGGGGGUGGAAUUCCUGGUGUAGCGGUGAAAUGCGUAGAUAUCAGGAGGAACACCGGUGGCGAAGGCGACCCCCUGGACCGAUACUGACACUGAGGCGCGAAAGCGUGGGUAGCAAACAGGAUUAGAUACCCUGGUAGUCCACGCCCUAAACGAUGAACACUAGGUGUGGGGGGAGUUAAAUCCUCCUGUGCCGCAGCUAACGCGAUAAGUGUUCCGCCUGGGGAGUACGGCCGCAAGGUUGAAACUCAAAGGAAUUGACGGGGGCCCGCACAAGCGGUGGAGCAUGUGGUUCAAUUCGACGCUACGCGAAGAACCUUACCUAGGCUUGACAUCUGGGGAACCCCGAUGAAAGUCGGGGGUGCCUCGCAAGAGGAGCCCCAAGACAGGUGCUGCAUGGCUGUCGUCAGCUCGUGCCGUGAGGUGUUGGGUUAAGUCCCGCAACGAGCGCAACCCUUACCCUUAGUUGCCAUCAGGUAAUGCUGGGCACUCUAUGGGAACUGCCAGCGUUAAGCUGGAGGAAGGUGGGGAUGACGUCAAGUCAUCAUGGCCUUUAUGCCUAGGGCUACACACGUGCUACAAUGGCCGGUACAAAGGGCUGCAAGCCUGCGAAGGUGAGCCAAUCCCAAAAAACCGGUCUCAGUUCGGAUUGGAGUCUGCAACUCGACUCCAUGAAGCUGGAAUCGCUAGUAAUCGCGGAUCAGAACGCCGCGGUGAAUACGUUCCCGGGCCUUGUACACACCGCCCGUCACACCACGAAAGCCUGUUAUACCAGAAGUCGGUGGGCUAACCGCAAGGGGGCAGCCGCCUAAGGUAUGGCCGGUGAUUGGGGUGAAGUCGUAACAAGGUAGCCGUAGGGGAACCUGCGGCUGGAUCACCUCCUUUCU
rnacentral:rRNA from 1 species